rnacentral:rRNA from 1 species
CAUUUUUUUUUGAGACGAGCGCAAUUUCAUCAUGAGCUUUGCAGAAUAUUGUCCUGCGAUGACAACUUACUUCCGAGCAAAUCUGAAGCCUACAGGCUACAGAACAAAAUACCUAAAUCCAAAAUCUUCUUCUUUGAGAAGCAUGGGCACAACUUACUGUUGGAGCAUGGUGUCCAUGUCUCAUCCAUCAUCAAAUGUGUUGGUCUCUACCGCCAUUCGAGGCGCUAUCAUCGGGUUUUCGACUACAUCCCACCGUCCGCAACCGAGCUAAAUGAAGUCGACAAAGCUAGCAGCGACCUGACGUUCAGAACGUGCCCGGCGAUGUUCUCGACGUUGGAAGACGGCACGGUGGUACGGGGACUCGCCGGGGUGCCCGAGGACGGGCCAGUGCUGCUGGUAGGCAACCACAUGUUGCUGGGGAUCGAGCUCAUCUCUCUUGCCGCGGAGUUCAUGCGGCACAAGAAGGCUGUCGUCCGUGGCAUUGCACACCCGCUGCUGUUCCCAAAGAAGACGAAGACGUGGUCGGAGGGACACGACUUCUUCGACUUCCUCAACCUGUGGGGCGGCGUGCCCAUGACCUACAAGUACAUAUACGAGUUGCUGGCAGCUGGGGAGUUGGUGCUCCUCUACCCAGGUGGUUACAGGGAGGCAAUCCACUGCAAGGGUGAAGAGCACAGGAUUUUCUGGCCAGACCAGACUGAAUUUGUUAGGAUGGCAGCUCAGUUGAAUGCCACAAUCGUGCCGUUUGGAGUCGUCGGA